rnacentral:lncRNA from 1 species
CGCAGCUUUCAGUAUUGUCAGGUCGAUGAGGGAUGAUGAAGGACAAAGCAUCCAAGGAGCCUGUACAGUUCAGUGGAGUAUAGGACGUGUCUUUGCAGCUAGUUAGAACCACAAAGUAAUGGGUUGGGACAGGGAUUUGUGUGUUGUUUACAUGCUGUGUAAUUUCAUCAAGAGUAUCAAAAUGGCCAUCAUAAUUGUAAUCAAACACUGGUCCACUGAUA